GCAUCAGUGGUGUAGCGGUAACAUUGGGUCUUCCCAUGUCUUUGUUCGACGUGUAAUGAGGCUUGGCCUAGCUCCGGGUUCGACUCCCGGCUGAUGCA